rnacentral:rRNA from 1 species
GACGAACGCUGGCGGCGUGCUUAACACAUGCAAGUCGAACGAGUGGCGAACGGGUGAGUAAUGUAUGGGGAUCUGCCUGAUGGCGGGGGAUAACUACUGGAACCGGUAGCUAAUACCGCAUACCCUCAGAUGAACCCAUAUGGGAUUAGCUAGUGGGUGAGGUAACGGCUUACCUAGGCGACGAUCCCUAGCUGGUCUGAGAGGAUGAUCAGCCACACUGGGACUGAGACACUGCCCAGACUCCGACGGGAGGCAGCAGGGGGGAAUAUUGCACAAUGGGCGAAAGCCUGAUGCAGCGACGCCGCGUGGGGGAUGAAGGCUUUCGGGUUGUAAACCUCUUUCGCUAUCGAACGGGUAGGUGGAGAAGAAGCGCCGGCUAACUACGUGCCAGCAGCCGCGGUAAUAC